GAUGAACGCUGGCGGCGUGCUUAACACAUGCAAGUCGAACGAUGAAGCCCAGCUUGCUGGGUGGAUUAGUGGCGAACGGGUGAGUAACACGUGAGUAACCUGCCCUUAACUCUGGGAUAAGCCUGGGAAACUGGGUCUAAUACCGGAUAGGAGCGUCCACCGCAUGGUGGGUGUUGGAAAGAUUUAUCGGUUUUGGAUGGACUCGCGGCCUAUCAGCUUGUUGGUGAGGUAAUGGCUCACCAAGGCGACGACGGGUAGCCGGCCUGAGAGGGUGACCGGCCACACUGGGACUGAGACACGGCCCAGACUCCUACGGGAGGCAGCAGUGGGGAAUAUUGCACAAUGGGCGCAAGCCUGAUGCAGCGACGCCGCGUGAGGGAUGACGGCCUUCGGGUUGUAAACCUCUUUCAGUAGGGAAGAAGCGAAAGUGACGGUACCUGCUGAAGAAGCACCGGCUAACUACGUG
rnacentral:rRNA from 1 species